AUUGAACGCUGGCGGCAGGCCUAACACAUGCGAGUCGAGCGGAUGAAGGGAGCUUGCUCCUGGAUUCAGCGGCGGACGGGUGAGUAAUGCCUAGGAAUCUGCCUGGUAGUGGGGGAUAACGUCCGGAAACGGGCGCUAAUACCGCAUACGUCCUGAGGGAGAAAGUGGGGGAUCUUCGGACCUCACGCUAUCAGAUGGGCCUAGGUCGGAUUAGCUAGUUGGUGGGGUAAAGGCCUACCAAGGCGACGAUCCGUAACUGGUCUGAGAGGAUGAUCAGUCACACUGGAACUGAGACACGGUCCAGACUCCUACGGGAGGCAGCAGUGGGGAAUAUUGGACAAUGGGCGAAAGCCUGAUCCAGCCAUGCCGCGUGUGUGAAGAAGGUCUUCGGAUUGUAAAGCACUUUAAGUUGGGAGGAAGGGCAGUAAGUUAACACCUUGCUGUUUUGACGUUACCAACAGAAUAAGCACCGGCUAACUUCGUG
rnacentral:rRNA from 1 species